rnacentral:rRNA from 1 species
UACAGAGGGGGCAAGCGUUGUUCGGAAUUACUGGGCGUAAAGGGCGCGUAGGCGGCCUGUUAAGUCGAACGUGAAAUCCCCGGGCUCAACCCGGGAACUGCGUCCGAUACUGGCAGGCUUGAAUUCGGGAGAGGGAUGUGGAAUUCCAGGUGUAGCGGUGAAAUGCGUAGAUAUCUGGAGGAACACCGGUGGCGAAGGCGGCAUCCUGGACCGAUAUUGACGCUGAUGC